GACGAACGCUGGCGGCGUGCUUAACACAUGCAAGUCGAACGGAAAGGCCCUGCUUUUGUGGGGUGCUCGAGUGGCGAACGGGUGAGUAACACGUGAGUAACCUGCCCUUGACUGUGGGGUAACUUCAGGAAAGUGGGGCUAAUACCGGAAAGGAGCUCCUGCUGCAGGGUGGGGGUGGGAAAGUUUCGGCGGUUGGGGUUGGACUCGCGGCUUAUCAGCUUGUUGGGUGGGUAGUGGCUUACCAAGGCUUUGACGGGUAGCCGGCCUGGGAGGGUGACCGGACACGCUGGGCCUGAGAUGCGGCCCAGCCCCCUACCGGAGGCAGCGGUGGGGUAUAUUGCACAAUGGGCUGAACCCUGAUGCAGCAACGCCGCGUCCGGGAUGACGGCCUGCGGGUUGUAAUCCGCUUUCGCCUUUGACGAAGCGUUAGUGACGGUAAUGGGUAAAGAAGCACCGGCUAACUACGUG
rnacentral:rRNA from 1 species